AAACUAUUGGCCCAAACUAGACCAUUAUUGGGCCUCGGUUUAUGCGGGUUCGGGUCCAGCGGGUGACGGGUCAAACGGGUAACUUAUUUCGGUUUGGGACAGGUCUGGCCCAAUUUGGUUUUUUUUUUUGCCUCGUGCUUAUUGGCCUUUUUUUAAAAAAAAAACUAUCAAAAUUGUGCUACUUUAUCCCAUUUUUCCUAUUUUAUUUUAAGCAGAUUUUGGUCCAAUUUAAAAUAUACAAUACAUCAAUACAAAAUACAUCGGGUCUUGUUGAUGUCCUGUUUUAAUUUUGGCCCAACUGAUUUAUGAUAUACAUUUAAAAUUUUAGUUUCAAUGAAAUAUAGUAGAUAGACACUAUUUUUUUCAUUUAAAUAUUCCAGCUCAUUUAUUCAUUUGAUUUUUUUCAAUUAACUAUAUUACAUAAAAAAUCUGGAUCUCUUUGUCAAAGAAAAAAAAAAAUCUGAAUCUCCAUCAAUUGAUUCUCAUGAUGCUCUUUCAACAUUAAGAAUUGGCACCUGCAAAAUAAACAAGAAAACAUAUAUAAGAGAUUCAUAUGAACCGAAGAAACAAUAUAUAUGUAAAAAUAAAAAUAAACCUUGUCAUACUCAGGAAGAGAGAUUGUGCAGCUUUAAACAAAUAUAUACAAAAGAAAGCAAAAACAAAUAUAAUUAUAAUAAGGGACUCGCACAAAUGUUAGUAAACCAUAGUUCACAUAGAUCUAAUAACAAAGCACUUUGACAAAAAUUAUGUCAACACUAAGAUUUUAUUUUUACACAACAAUGUUUAGAUUACCUUUCAAUUAUAACUUCUUACUAGCUUUCUAUUCAUUUUCCCAGUUUUUUUUGGCUAACAACAGAAUCAAACAUUACCUUCACAAGCAGAAAAACAACUAUUGUUUUCACCAAACCUAUCAAAUGAGAAACUAGGAUCAAUAAUUAACAUAAACCAUUAACCAAAAAGAGAGACAUAUCAUAAGAUCUAGAUAUUAUUAUAUACCUACCACGUAGAUCUGAUGAGAAAUGUGUGGAUCUGAAGAUUAUUAUAUUUACCAUGUAGAUCUGAUAUGCCUCUUUGUUCCUCAACGAUGAGCAGCUUUAUAUAUUUCUUCUUGUGUAUACCAUGAUAGAAAAACAAAAAGAAAAUCGUUCAGAGUUGUGAAAACUUAAAACGAAAAACACGGUAAAGAAAUCAAACACGAAGAAAAUGGAGGAGAUAUGGUAGGGACUUUGAGUUCGACGGCGGUGGCGGGAUGUGACGGCGGAGAACGAGUUGAGAAAACGGAGGAGAAGCAGCGAAUUGACGGCGGCGGCUGAGUUUUUCACUAUGCUGCUAGGGUUUAGAAAAAUCACAAAGUGUGAGUGGGAGAGGGAACACAAUGAAUUGGCCAAAGUUAAGUGGAAAAACUUACUCUACGACGUGUUGUAUUUAUUAUUAAUAAUAAAUAAUAAAAAUG
rnacentral:lncRNA from 1 species